rnacentral:rRNA from 1 species
AACGGGGGGGGCAAGUGUCCUUCGGAAUGACUAGGCGUAAAGCGUGCGUAGGUGGUUCGUUAAGUCUGAUGUGAAAGCCCUGGGCUCAACCUGGGAAUGGCAUUGGAUACUGGCGACCUAGAGUGCGGUAGAGGGGUGUGGAAUUCCCGGUGUAGCAGUGAAAUGCGUAGAUAUCGGGAGGAACAUCUGUGGCGAAGGCGACACCCUGGACCAGCACUGACACUGAGGCACGAAAGCGUGGGGAGCAAACAGG